rnacentral:rRNA from 1 species
AACGAACGCUGGCGGCAUGCCUAACACAUGCAAGUCGAACGAGACCUUCGGGUCUAGUGGCGCACGGGUGCGUAACGCGUGGGAACCUGCCCUUAGGUUCGGAAUAACUCCCCGAAAGGGGUGCUAAUACCGGAUAAUGUCUUCGGACCAAAGAUUUAUCGCCUUUGGAUGGGCCCGCGUUGGAUUAGCUAGUUGGUAGGGUAAAAGCCUACCAAGGCGAGGAUCCAUAGCUGGUCUGAGAGGAUGAUCAGCCACUCUGGGACUGAGACACGGCCCGGACUCCUACGGGAGGCAGCAGUGGGGAAUAUUGGACAGUGGGCGAAAGCCUGAUCCAGCAAUGCCGCUUGAGUGAUGAAGGCCUUAGGGUUGUAAAGCUCUUUUACCCGUGAUGAUAAUGACAGUACCGGGAGAAUAAGCUCCGGCUAACUCCGUG